rnacentral:rRNA from 1 species
CCAAGGGUUCCAGGGCCAGGCUAGUCCGCCCUGGGUGAGUCGGGACCUAAGGCGAGGCCGACGGGCGUAGUCGAUGGAUGACGGGUUGAUAUUCCCGUACCGGACCGGAUACCGACCGUGCUGACGUGCGGGUGCUGACCCACGCCCCGCGCCGCCCAUCGCGCCUCCCGGCCGGUUAUUCGUAACCGCGGGGGGCGGGCGGCGGGGGUCUGGGGACCCUCCGUGCAGGUAGGCAAGCGUAUUAACAGGGGUGACGCGCAGUGGUGGCCCCGCGGGUCUGAUGGCUCGGCCCGUUCAAGCGCGCAGCCCGCCGCCCAGGCAAAUCCGGGCGGCUGCCUUCAAUGGCGGGGGUGAGGCGUGACGGUGACCCGGCCCGGUGGGGUCGGGGAAGCAGGGUGAUCCUGUGGCGCCUAGAAAAGCCUCGACGCGAGGGGCCGGUCCGCCCGUACCCCAAACCGACACAGGUGGUCGGGCAGAGUAUGCCCAGGCGCACGAGCGAACCGUGGUGAAGGAACUCGGCAAAACGCCCCCGUAACUUCGGGAGAAGGGGGGCCCGAACCCUGAAACGGCCAGCCCGUUAGGGGUGAGGGUCGCAGAGGCCAGGGGGGAGCGACUGUUUACUAAAAACACAGGUCCGUGCGAAGCCGUAAGGCGAUGUAUACGGACUGACGCCUGCCCGGUGCUGGAAGGUCAAGAGGACCCGUCAACCCCCCGUGGGUGAAGCGGUGAAUUCAAGCCCCAGUGAACGGCGGUGGUAACUAUAACCAUCCUAAGGUAGCGAAAUUCCUUGUCGGGUAAGUUCCGACCUGCACGAAUGGCGUAACGACUCCCCCGCUGUCUCCACCACGGGCCCGGCGAAAUUGCAUUACGAGUAAAGAUGCUCGUUGCGCGCAGAAGGACGGAAAGACCCCGGGACCUUCACUGCAGCUUGGUAUUGGCGCCCGGUUCGGCUCGUGCAGGAUAGGUGGGAGACUAUGAGGCCGCCGCGUCAGCGGCGGCGGAGUCGUCGUUGAGAUACCACUCCGGCCGUGUCGUGCGCCUGAACCCGGGCCCGUGAUCCGGGUCGGGGACAGUGCCUGGCGGGUAGUUCAACUGGGGCGGUUGCCUCCCAAAGAGUAACGGAGGCGCUCAAAGGUCCCCUCAGCCUGGUCGGCAACCAGGUGUCGAGUGCAAGUGCACAAGGGGGCUCGACUGCGAGACCGACAGGUCGAGCAGGUGCGAAAGCAGGAACUAGUGAUCCGGCGAUCCCGCGUGGGCGGGUCGUCGCUCAACGGAUAAAAGGUACCCCGGGGAUAACAGGCUGAUCCUGCCCAAGAGUCCAUAUCGACGGCAUGGUUUGGCACCUCGAUGUCGGCUCGUCGCAUCCUGGGGCUGGAGCAGGUCCCAAGGGUUGGGCUGUUCGCCCAUUAAAGCGGUACGCGAGCUGGGUUUAGAACGUCGUGAGACAGUUCGGUCCCUAUCCUCUGCGCGCGCAGGAGACCCGAGGAGACCCGUCCCCAGUACGAGAGGACCAGGACGGACGAACCUCUAGUACGCCAGUUGUCCCGCCAGGGGCACCGCUGGUUAGCCACGUUCGGAACGGAUAACCGCUGAAAGCAUCUAAGCGGGAAACCACCUCCAAGACCAAGUCUCCACACAACCCCCCAACAAGGGGUUGCGGAAGGCCCCCAGCAGACCACUGGGUAGAUAGGCCGGAGGUGCACACCCGGCAACGGGCUCAGCCAACCGGUACUAAUAGGCCAACACGAACCACA